rnacentral:sRNA from 1 species
GGAAAACAGCAGAGCUGACAGUCAGAACAGCCGUGCUUCAAGCGUUCCUGGAGCCCAAGCUCUCCUCCACAGGUGAAGACAGGGCCAGCAGCAGACACCAUGGGGCACCUCUCAGCCCCACUUCACAGAGUGCGUGUCCCCUGGCAGGGGCUUCUGCUCACAGCCUCACUUCUAACCUUCUGGAACCCACCCACCACUGCCCAGCUCACUACUGAAUCCACGCCAUUCAAUGUCGCAGAGGGGAAGGAGGUUCUUCUACUCGUCCACAAUCUGCCCCAGAAUCCUCUUGGCUACAACUGGUACAAAGGGGAAAUGGUGGACGCCAACCAUCGAAUUAUAGGAUAUGUAAUAUCAGAUCAACUAACUACCCCAGGGCCUGCAUACAGCAGUCGAGAGAAAAUAUACCCCAAUGCAUCCCUGCUGAUCCAGAACGUCACCCAGAAUGACACAGGAUUCUACACCCUACAAGUCAUAAAGUCAGAUCUUGUGAAUGAAGAAGCAACUGGACAGUUCCAUGUAUACCCGGAGACUCCCAAGCCCUUCAUCUCCAGCAACAACUCCAACCCCGUGGAGGACAACGAUGCUGUGGCCUUAACCUGUGAACCUGGGACUCAGGACACAACCUACCUGUGGUGGAUAAACAAUCAGAGCCUCCUGAUCAGUCCCAGGCUGCAGCUGUCCAAUGGCAACAGGACCCUCACUCUACUCAGUGUCACAAGGAAUGACGCAGGACCCUAUGAGUGUGAAAUACAGAACCCAGUGAGUGCGAACCGCAGUGACCCAGUCACCUUGAAUGUCACCUAUGGCCCGGACACCCCCACCAUUUCCCCUUCAGACACCUAUUACCGUCCAGGGGCAAACCUCAGCCUCUCCUGCUAUGCAGCCUCUAACCCACCUGCACAGUACUCCUGGCUUAUCAAUGGAACAUUCCAGCAAAGCACACAAGAGCUCUUUAUCCCCAACAUCACUGUGAAUAAUAGUGGAUCCUAUACCUGCCACGCCAAUAACUCAGUCACUGGCCGCAACAGGACCACAGUCAAAACGAUCAUAGUCACUGGUAAGUAAUUCCUGGAGCAUCAACACUAAGAUCUGGGGUACAAGCUUUCUGGUUUUCAAAUAGGAGCAGAGAGGAAAUUUUCCUUUCCAGCCUGUAUCCAACAGGCACAAACAAGUCCAAAUUCUCCCCUGAACCCUCUCAAUUCAUCUCUGCAGACUCUCUUCCCUUUGUUUUUCUGAUUUCUCACAGCUGACCUUAGGUCCAGCCUGGAAUGUGGCGAGGGGGUUCUCUCAGCCCCACAAAGCCCCAUGUAGCAGGACGGGCUUCACAGAGGGGGAAGCAGAAAGGGUCCUCAAGGUCAAUUUGCUUCUGUUACUAACAUGUCCCUUCUGUAACUUCUUGGCCUUCUUUUACCUACUCCAUGAGAUAUAAGGAAUAUGUGAGAUUUUAAAACAGACUCACAAUAGUUUUCCCUAAAUUAGAGAAGGAAAUGCCCUUCAUCAGAGAUGAGCAGCUCAGACUCUGCUCCCUGCUCUACUCCCGGCUUGCCCGGUGAUUGGCUCUGCCCUGACCCCAUGUGGGGUAGGACGCAGGUGUGUGUGGAAGGUGUCCAGGUGGCCUGUCAUGAAUCCAGCUAAAUCAAGAUGGCAGUCAAUGGCUGGGUGCUGUGGUUCAUGCCUGUGAUUCCAGCACUUUGGAAGGCCAAGGUGGGAGGAUCACCUGAGGUCAGGAGUUCGAGACCAGCCUGACCAACAUGGCAAAACUCCAUCUCUACUAAAAAUAC